rnacentral:rRNA from 1 species
UACGAAAGGUGCAAGCGUUACUCGGAAUUAUUGGGCGUAAAGCGCACGUAGGCGGACCAUCAAGUCGGUUGUGAAAUCCCUCGGCUUAACCGAGGACGUGCAUUCGAAACUGAUGGUCUUGAGUACGAAAGAGGGUCGCGGAAUUCCCGGUGUAGAGGUGAAAUUCGUAGAUAUCGGGAGGAACACCAGUGGCGAAGGCGGCGACCUGGGUCGAUACUGACGCUGAGGUGCGAAAGCGUGGGGAGCAAACAGG